CCAGCCGAGUUGGUCUAGUGGUAUGACGUCCGCCUCACAUCAAUUUGAUUCAAGACUGUUGAUGCUAGAUCGCGGCAGGUCGCGAGUUCGAUCCUCGCACUCGGUAU